GCGGGUAUGGUGGAAUCGGUAGACACACAAGAUUUAAAAUCUUGCGCUUUUGGCGUGCCAGUUCAAGUCUGGCUACCCGCACCA
rnacentral:tRNA from 1 species